rnacentral:rRNA from 1 species
GACGAACGCUGGCGGCGUGCCUAAUACAUGCAAGUUGAGCGCUGAAGGUUGGUACUUGUACCAACUGGAUGAGCAGCGAACGGGUGAGUAACGCGUGGGGAAUCUGCCUUUGAGCGGGGGACAACAUUUGGAAACGAAUGCUAAUACCGCAUAAAAACUUUAAACACAAGUUUUAAGUUUGAAAGAUGCAAUUGCAUCACUCAAAGAUGAUCCCGCGUUGUAUUAGCUAGUUGGUGAGGUAAAGGCCCACCAAGGCGAUGAUACAUAGCCGACCGGAGGGGAGGAUGCGACACACCGGAACGGAGAGACGGUCCAGAAGCCUACGGGAGGCAGCAGGUGGGAAUAUGGGAGAAGGUGCGAAAGCAUGAUCCAGGGAUACCGGGGGGGUGAAGAAGGGCUUCGGGUUGGAAAACCAGUUGGGUGUGAAAGAAAAGAAGCAGGUGAAGAACCCGAUGUUCUGACGGUACCCAAAGAAUAAGAAACGGCUAACUUCGUG